UCUCGGGCCCGCAAGCAUCAGCAGUGCAGCCUGGGCCCCCGGGCCCCAAGGAGAAGUGGGGCAAGAUGUGGGGAGGUCCGGGGGCUCGGGGACCCGCCCGGCGGAAGGACUCGCUCACUCAGGCCCAGAGGUAGUCUGCCGGCCCCCGGGGACCGGAGGCUGCUCCCCAGGCCGCGAAAGGAGGGUGCGAGAAGGGUCCCAAGAGGGACAGAGCGGGGCUGGGGGGCGGCGGCGGUGGGAAGACAGAGUCCGAGGCCCAAGGGAUACGGGAGGAUCGAGAUAUCAAGAAGUGAAAGUGGCCAUCCAUUAGGGCAUGGACUUCCAGGGAAAGUAAGUGAUCAGGUUUUCCAGAGAGGACAUUCCAAAUCUUUGGCCUGGCUGCCAAAAUUCUGGGAAAGGGAGGGGAGAAGGAAGGAAGGAAUCUGAGGAGCUCAUCGUUCAAGAUGCAGAUAUUGGGAUUUCCCUGGUGGCACAGUGGUUAAGAAUCCGCCUGCCAAUGCAGGGGACACAGGUUCGAGCCCUGGUCUGGGAAGAUCCCACAUGCCACGGAGCAACUAAGCCCGUGCGCCACAACUACUGAGCCUGCGUUCUAGAGCCCGCGAGCCACAACUACUGAGCCCAUGAGCCACGACUACUAAAGCCCCUUCGUGCCUCAAGCCCGUGCUCCGCAACAAGAGAAACCACUGCAGUGAGAAGCCCGCGCACCUCAAUGAAGAACAGCUCCCGCUCACCGCAACUAGAAAGAAGCACACAUGCAGCAAUAAAGACCCAAUGCAGCCAAUAAAUAAAUAAAUAAACUAAAAACCCAAUGCAGAUAUUCACUGAACUCCUGGUGUUCGACCCUCUGACUCACCUCCACCUUUCCCCAUGCCCUGUGUCCUCAUCUGGAGGUUCUGUCAUUCCAUUUCUGCAAAUAAUAAGCCUCCAGCAAGAGUGGCAGCAACUCCUGGAAGCAAGAGGUGGGCGGGGACACCUGGGGAUCCCAUUAUUUCUUACACAGACUUUCUACUCAUCCCCAUUUUUAACCCAUCACCACAUGUUUAUCAUCUCCAUGGUCCCUGGUACCGCUAAACUCUGGAACUCGUGGGAUUCAGGGUGAAUCUGCUCACUUUUUAUUGGCAUCCACCUUUGAAAACACUUAGGUUGUAACUUUUGCUCUAGAAUAGUUAGCUCUGUUUUCUAUCUCCCACUUUUUAAAGACCUAGGUCAAUAUUUGCAUAAAUAAAUUUUUUUA